AUAUCAAUAAGCGGAGGAAAAGAAACUAACAAGGAUUCCCCUAGUAACUGCGAGUGAAGCGGGAAAAGCUCAAAUUUAAAAUCUGGCGGUCUUUGGCCGUCCGAGUUGUAGUCUGGAGAAGUGCUUUCCGCGCUGGACCGUGUAUAAGUCUCUUGGAACAGAGCGUCAUAGAGGGUGAGAAUCCCGUCUUUGACACGGACUACCAGUGCUUUGUGAUGCGCUCUCAAAGAGUCGCGUUGUUUGGGAAUGCAGCGCAAAAUGGGUGGUGAAUUCCAUCUAAAGCUAAAUAUUGGCGAGAGACCGAUAGCGAACAAGUACCGUGAGGGAAAGAUGAAAAGCACUUUGGAAAGAGAGUUAAACAGUACGUGAAAUUGCUGAAAGGGAAACGCUUGAAGUCAGUCGCGUUGUCCGGGACUCAGCCUUGCUUCGGCUUGGUGCACUUUCCGGAUGACGGGCCAGCAUCGAUUUUGACCGCUGGAAAAGGGCUGGAGGAAUGUGGCACCUUUUGGUGUGUUAUAGCCUCCAGUCGCAUACGGCGGUUGGGAUCGAGGAACGCAGCACGCCUUACGGCGGGGGUUCGCCCACCUUCGUGCUUAGGAUGCUGGCAUAAUGGCUUUAAACGACCCGUCUUGAAACACGGACCAAGGAGUCUAACAUGCCUGCGAGUGUUUGGGUGGAAAACCCGAGCGCGUAAUGAAAGUGAAAGUCGGGACCUCUGUCGUGGAGGGCACCGACGCCCGGACCUGACGUUCUCUGACGGAUCCGCGGGUAGAGCAUGUAUGUUGGGACCCGAAAGAUGGUGAACUAUGCCUGAAUAGGGUGAAGCCAGAGGAAACUCUGGUGGAGGCUCGUAGCGAUUCUGACGUGCAAAUCGAUCGUCAAAUUUGGGUAUAGGGGCGAAAGACUAAUCGAACCAUCUAGUAGCUGG
rnacentral:rRNA from 1 species